rnacentral:lncRNA from 1 species
GGAGGAGCCGGAGGCGGGGUGGUGGGAGCAGGUGGAGGGGUGGCCGGCGGGGUGGUGGGAGCCGGAGGAGGGGUGGCAGGAGCCUGCGGCGCCGGAGGGGGCGUGGCCGGGGCCUGUGGCGCCUGAGGAGGCGUGGUGGGUGCCGGAGGAGCGCUGGGAGCUGGAGGCGGGUUGCCGGCCGGGGGUGCGGUGGGAGCUGGAGGCGGGUUGCCUGCCGGAGGCGCGUUGGGAGCAGGAGGCGGGUUGCCGGCAGGCGGCGCGUUGGGCGUUGGCGGCGGCUGCACCGGUGGCUGCUGCGCGGCGCAGGAGACGAUGAGGACCGCGAGGACCAGCGGGAGGAGCGCCAUUUUGAUCUGGUGCUUCUUGGUCGGCGCUCUGGAGCAGUGGGAGGAAGCGAGAGCGGAGGAGUGAUGGUUAUAUAGCGUGGUCAGCGAGGGUGGAUCUCAGUGAGUGAUCACAGCGAGCUGGCUAAUCUCCAGCUCACUGGCCGCGCAGCCCACCGAUCACGGUGGCAUGGCGGAGUAGGCCAGGGAGUGUAUCUACUUCGUACUGUAGUUCGUACACGUAUGGAUGGGUCGACCGGUACAAAUAUUGUAGAGUGCAACUUUAUAGGCAAAAAAUGCAUGGGGGCCUGUCCUUGUAUUGGUUGGUUGCAAAUGCCAGCUCGGUCGCCUUUUCG